rnacentral:rRNA from 1 species
CGCGGCCUAUCAGCUUGUUGGUGAGGUAACGGCUCACCAAGGCUUCGAUGGGUAGCCGGCCUGAGAGGGCGAUCGGCCACACUGGAACUGAGACACGGUCCAGACUCCUACGGGAGGCAGCAGUGAGGAAUCUUGCGCAAUGGGGGAAACCCUGACGCAGCGACGCCGCGUGGAGGACGAAGGCCUUCGGGUCGUAAACUCCUGUCAGGAGGGACGAAAGCUACGAGGAUGAAUAAGCCUCGUGGUUGACGGUACCUCUGGAGGAAGCCCCGGCUAACUCCGUGCCAGCAGCCGCGGUAAUACGGAGGGGGCCAGCGUUGUUCGGAAUUAUUGGGCGUAAAGGGCGUCUAGGUGGCUGUGCAAGUCGGAGGUGAAAUCCCUCGGCUCAACCGAGGAACUGCCCCCGAUACUGCAUGGCUUGAGUCCCGGAGAGGGUAGCGGAAUUCCUAGUGUAGCGGUGAAAUGCGUAGAUAUUAGGAGGAACACCAGUGGCGAAGGCGGCUACCUGGACGGGUACUGACACUGAAGCGCGAAAGCGUGGGGAGCAAACAGGAUUAGAUACCCUGGUAGUCCACGCUGUAAACGAUGGGCACUUGGUGUUGCGGGUAUCGACCCCUGCAGUGCCGAAGCUAACGCAUUAAGUGCCCCGCCUGGGGAGUACGG